rnacentral:rRNA from 1 species
GAGUUUGAUCAUGGCUCAGAUUGAACGCUGGCGGCAUGCCUUACACAUGCAAGUCGAACGGCAGCACGGGAGCUUGCUCCUGGUGGCGAGUGGCGAACGGGUGAGUAAUGCAUCGGAACGUAUCCUGGAGUGGGGGAUAACGUGGCGAAAGUUACGUUAAUACCGCAUAUUCUGUGAGCAGGAAAGCGGGGGACCUUCGGGCCUCGCGCUCUUGGAGCGGCCGAUGUCGGAUUAGCUAGUUGGUGAGGUAAAGGACUCACCAAGGCGACGAAUCCGUAGCAGGUCUGAGAGGAUGAUCUGCCACACUGGAACUGAGACACGGUCCAGACUCCUACGGGAGGCAGCAGUGGGGAAUUUUGGACAAUGGGGGCAACCCUGAUCCAGCCAUGCGCGUGAGUGAAGAAGGCCUGGU